GGCUUUGUACAGUGGCAGUAUUGUAGCCAGUAAGGUUUAUCUGAGGCACAAUUAUUGCUAAUUGAAAUUGUUGCCAAUGCUUC